rnacentral:snRNA from 2 species
UUCAGUCCUAGCUUCGGCUGAACAUAUACCAAAAUUGGAACGAUACAGAGUAGAUUAGCAUGGCCCUGCGCAAGGAUGAAUGAACCUAAGAAUUUAUUCAUGAAUUCUUU